GCUUCGGUGGUGUAGUGGCAGUAGUACACGUCCCCGGUAGGGAUGAAACGCGGGUUCGAUUCCCGUCUGAGGCC